rnacentral:rRNA from 1 species
AUUGAACGCUGGCGGCAUGCUUUACACAUGCAAGUCGAACGGUAACAGCACUUCGGUGGCUGACGAGUGGCGAACGGGUGAGUAAUACAUCGGAACGUGCCUAGUAGUGGGGGAUAACUGCUCGAAAGAGUAGCUAAUACCGCAUGAGAUCUAAGGAUGAAAGCAGGGGACCUUCGGGCCUUGCGCUACUAGAGCGGCUGAUGGCAGAUUAGGUAGUUGGUGGGAUAAAAGCUUACCAAGCCGACGAUCUGUAGCUGGUCUGAGAGGACGACCAGCCACACUGGGACUGAGACACGGCCCAGACUCCUACGGGAGGCAGCAGUGGGGAAUUUUGGACAAUGGGCGCAAGCCUGAUCCAGCAAUGCCGCGUGCAGGAUGAAGGCCUUCGGGUUGUAAACUGCUUUUGUACGGAACGAAAAGCCCUCUUCUAAUACAGGAGGGUCAUGACGGUACCGUAAGAAUAAGCACCGGCUAACUACGUG